rnacentral:rRNA from 1 species
CUGGCGGCGUGCCUAACACAUGCAAGUCGAGCGAAGGAUAUAUGAGGAAAUCUUCGGAUGGAAUCAUAUAAACUUAGCGGCGGACGGGUGAGUAACGCGUGAGGAACCUGCCUUGCACAAGGGGAUAGCCUCGGGAAACCGGGAUUAAUACCCUAUGAUACUUAAAAUUCGCAUGAAUUUUAAGUCAAAGCGAUUUAGCGGUGCAAGAUGGCCUCGCGUCCCAUUAGCUAGUUGGUAAGGUAAAAGCUUACCAAGGCUACGAUGGGUAGCCGGCCUGAGAGGGUGACCGGCCACACUGGAACUGAGACACGGUCCAGACUCCUACGGGAGGCAGCAGUGGGGAAUAUUGCACAAUGGAGGAAACUCUGAUGCAGCGACGCCGCGUGAGCGAUGAAGGUUUUCGGAUCGUAAAGCUCUGUCCUAAGGGAAGAUAAUGACGGUACCUUAGGAGGAAGCCCCGGCUAACUACGUGCCAGCAGCCGCGGUAAUACGUAGGGGGCGAGCGUUGUCCGGAAUUAUUGGGCGUAAAGGGUGCGUAGGCGGCCUUGUAAGUCAGAUGUGAAAGAUCACGGCUUAACUGUGGUAAGCAUUUGAAACUGCAGGGCUUGAGUACAGGAGAGGAGAGUGGAAUUCCUAGUGUAGCGGUGAAAUGCGUAGAUAUUGGGAAGAACACCAGUGGCGAAGGCGCCUUUCUGGACUGUGUCUGACGCUGAGAUGCGAAAGCCAGGGUAGCAAACGGGAUUAGAUACCCCGGUAGUCCUGGCCGUAAACGAUG